CUCAGAGACCUGGUGCCUUCUCUAACCCUUCCUUCCCUCCACAGAUUUUGCUUCCCCCAUUCAAAGCGCUUACUCCCGUCCCUUUCCCUUCUGGAUCAGUUCCCCUAAGAAGCCCACGCUUUUCAAAAGCAUUUCUGGAAAUUGUCCUCUGGGUGCCUGGAAACUGUUGAUUUUUGGAUCUGAAACUUAGAAGCCUUCAACUAGAGAACAUUCAGGCCUGGUUACCUUCUUAGGGAUGGGGGAGAGAAAUCACCCAUAGAAAUGAGAACAAAACACAAAUAUCUCCAUAAAUUAUCACAUAUGUAUUAUAUGUGUGUAUUUCCAGUGUCUGGUGCAGUAUUUUAGUUUAAGGUCGCAUACGUAGUUUAUAGUCAAAUAGGAGGAAGAAAAAGAAUGCUUUUGAAUAAUUGGAAUGGGAAAUGUGAUGUGACAAAUGCCCAAAGAUAAGUGAACAUUAAGCGCAAUUGCAGUUCAAAGCAGAAGAUAGAUUUCGGUCAGGGGAGAAUGAGUUCCAGGCAAACGGAAGUGCGGAUAGAUGAGCAGAGAUGAGAUUGUCAGAGAUGUGGCUGAAGAAUCGGAGUAGCAAUCUAGUUGCGGACUGUGAAGAAAUAGGUGGAUUGAGAGAGCACAUGUAUGGAGGAGGGGAAAGGGGGCAAGGAGAAUUUAUAGCUCCCUUGCAACUCAUUUCUGCUGCCGUCCUUGAAAAUCCUGCUUGAGUGGUGGUGUUACAAAUGGCUGAAGUGUCCUUGCUCUGUAAUGAGAUGCCCAGAUGGAGGCACCUUGAGCUGAGGGUAAUAAAACUUUGAUAAAGAAGCAUCUGAGAAGGAGCUGGAUAGUAGUAUCUGUGGAUUUCUAGACUAGAAUCAACAGUCUUUCCAGAUGCCUGUCAAACCUUAGUUUCUCUGAGGGUGGGGUUGAGGGGAGCUUUCAGCACUUCUUGGUGAGACACACGAAAGGUAAUCUCUGAGGCGAUGGGUUGCUGAAGCUGCGAUGUAUUUACCAAGUCUUGAAGUCGUUUUCUUUCUGGAUUUCUGGCUGCAAUCCAGUGACACCUGACGGGGGUGGCGAGGGGGAUCCUGAUAGCUGAUUGGCCGCGGCAAGGAUCCUGAAGGAGGCCGCGGUCUGCCAGUGCACCCAGGCCCCAGCUGUGACUCAGCCGCCGCUCUCCAGCACCGGGAGAGGGAACUCUCCGCCCGCCCGCGGACCCACCCCCGGCGCGAGCCGUGACGUCUCCCGGAAUUCACAGCUGCCCUCUCUCCCCGCUGGGCUCCCCCCAUCGGCACGCAGGAGGCUCUUCUGUCGCAGGCGGGAGCUGAGAGCAAACUGCCGGGGUCGUGCACGACUCCCCGGGGCUUCCCGCAGAAGCUGAUUGGCAAGGGGGGGUGGGGUGGGGUUCCGGCAGCCGUUGGUAACCCCCGCCCUGUCCCCUCCGCCUCCGCCCCAGUAAGAGAGGGCUGUAAAAUUCCGGAAGAGAGAUUAGAGGCAGGGGAUGGGUGGGGCAGUGAAUCAGUACAUUCCUUUCUCCCCCUGCCUCCUCCUGCCCUGUUAUCACUUUGGGUGGGUUGGGUCCUCUUAUGGCCUUCUCCUGACCGGUCCACUGGCAGGGUCCAGACAAGCUAAGCAGUGCUGGGCGGGAACCUCCCAAACUCAGCUGAACUUUGUAGAGCCUGGAUCACUUACUUUGCAGUUCAUGACCCCAUUUGGUUUCGGGUUGGGGAAUUUUGGUCCUUGCUUCCAACUGGGUCCCUUCCACAAGAGUAGUUCUUAGGCCUGUCUGUGCAUUUGUUAGUAGCUCCCAUUAAUUGAGCAAGCUCUUGCUCCGAGGCAAGGUCUGUGCUAGGUCAAUCAGUCUUAUGUUCCUAAAACUUUGCAAGGUAGGCAUACCUUCUCUCCUGUUAGAAGCCAGGACUCUGAAAGCUCAGAGAGGUUAGGUAACUUGCUCAAGGUCACACAGUGGCAAAGCCAGGAGUAGUCCCAGCUCUAUUAGUUCCAUAAAUUUUCCACCACACUCCGUGGCUUCCUUUAGCACACUGAAAGGCAACACUUAUUAGGGGGUGGCGAAGUAACAUCUAUGGACCACUUCCCACUGUGCUAGGUACUUUAAAUAUAUUGUCUUUAAUCAUUUACUUUUUUCACAACAACCCCCUGAGAGAGAUACGAUCACCAUGCCCAUAUUACACAGGAGGAAACUUUCGUUAGGAAUUUCAGGGGCAGAGCUGGGAUUCCUGUACAGUCAUAGUACAAAGCCGCAGUUAAUGUUUGUAUAGUGCUUGACAGUUUCCAAAGCCCUUUCAAGAUCUUCAUUUCAGUCUAUCCCAUUUCACAG
rnacentral:lncRNA from 1 species